AAUAAAUGUAGCCGUGGAAAUUCGUGUCCAACGUUUGACCGUUCGUCUUAUUUAAAAAUUUUAUGAAUUUUUUUUAAAAAAUUAGUCACACAUAAAGUACUAUUCAUACUUUAUCAUCUAAUAACAAUAAAAUUAGUAAUAAAAAAAUUAAAUAAGACGAACGGUCAAACGUUGAAGAUGAAUAGUGCAAAACUGUACUUAUU
rnacentral:pre_miRNA from 1 species